UUCAGCCUGGAAAGACCCUCAUUCCUGUGGUCAGUUCCCUGUUCAUGGACUUGGGCUCUGCGAUGUCCUGCAGUCCUAACACGACUUGAGGACAAACCGAGGGCAUAACCCUGGCAAACAGUGGACUUCGAAUCUCUACCUCGCUGUCCUUGAAGUUGGCCCGCCAGCAAACUGCCUGAGUUUUUGAAGCACUUCAAACUUCCAACCGUCAGUGCAUGCCCCCAAAGCCCUUCUGCACGCCGGUCGUCGGCUGGAGUUCAUUCUUAAUUUACGUUUUUAAAGGUGACCAGCCUCCUACGUGGCCAAAAGAUGAGGUGUUCGGCAUCUGUUACGAGCCUGGGCUGUGAGCCUCUGGCGAAGAUUUCUCACUCUCUCCAUAAGAUCCUGUUCCGUGGUGUCCCAUUGUACUCUUCUUUGAUUUAAAGAAACUUGAAAACAAAAUUUUAAGAUAACAAUAGUUUAAUGUUCUGAUAUUAGUAACGAUACACCAUGGAUUUUAAAGGUAAACAUGUUGCAAAAAAUCAGUAAUGAAAUGAUAUUUGAAAAACCAAAUUUCUUUAACAAAAAGCUUAAUGUGUUGUUCCCUAUACUGUUCCAUUUACAAGCCAAGUAUUUGUUGAAUUGAAUGAAUGUUAUCGGAGAAAGAGAACUCAUCUACUUUUGGUUAUUUACCAUUUGUUUUUUAUUUGGGGGAGAUAGACAAUCUUUAUU